rnacentral:rRNA from 1 species
UACAGAGACUGCGAGCGUUAUUCGGAUUCACUGGGCGUAAAGGGUGCGUAGGUGGCGCCGUAAGUCAGGUGUGAAAUCUCGGGGCUCAACCCCGAAACUGCACUUGAUACUGCGGUGCUCGAGUACUGGAGAGGAGAUUGGAAUUUACGGUGUAGCAGUGAAAUGCGUAGAUAUCGUAAGGAAGACCAGUGGCGAAGGCGAAUCUCUGGACAGUUACUGACACUGAGGCACGAAGGCCAGGGGAGCAAACGGG